ACUUCGCUGCCACCGUCCAUGCUUGUCAAGGCCUCAGCAGACGAACCUCUGGUUUAAAAGAUUAUUCUUGUGAAGCAGACAUGGGAAUGCUUAAAACUGUGCUAAAAGGCCUGAAAAUUGAAAGGCUGAGAUUGCCUCACAGGAAGCUGCCUUCUAUCAAGCCAAAUCUUUGACUCACUGUUGACAGGUAGUUGCAAUCCAGAGUUUCACUAUCUGGGAGAUGUCAGGGACUGAACCUCCUAGGACACGUGUGCUAAGUUACAGUCCUUUCUUACUUAUGUGCAAAUACGUUCAGAAAAGUCACUGUGUUAGCAAUACGGCAAAUAAAACAAAUAUAUAAAUAUCCAGGAAAACGAAUCAAGCAUGAAUUACAUACCCCUUGAAAGUAUGGCCUUUAUUGUCACUGCAAAAAACUACUACUAAAGAUGUUGAUGCCUGUAA